CAUCCAGCAGCCUCCGUAGGGGAACCUCCUCCCUGCAGCCUCCCCACAUCUCCACCCACCAUGGUGCCUCCCGCUCAGCCAGCCUCUCCUCCCCUAGGUGACACCUCAGAGCCACCAGGGAGCCUGUCUCCACCACCUGCUGUCUUUUUGAGAAGCCCUUGCCCUGCCCCUCCGCCCUCCCGCACCCGGAACGGCGGAUCCCUGGCCCAUGCCUCCAUGUGGACAGUCGGCAGCACUUGGCAAGGGCCAGAAUCAGGAGCCACCUUGAGGCGGGCACCUGGCCAGCUACCUUGUUCUGCAGAGGGACAAGGGAGGUGACAUUUCUGGGAGAAGGGCCGAGUGACUGCAUUGUCUCCCGCAGGAUUGGAAGGGUGUCAGGCUGGGGGCCUGGGGCCCAAGUCUUAAUGCUGUAAGAUUUCACUCUCAGGGAUUCCUCUGGAACACCCCCGAUUUCAUGUCACGGGGGGUCAAGGGGCCACCCGCAGAAAGCCCUGCAGGACAAAUGCAUUUCACUCCCGACAGGGCCAGACUCCUGGGAAGGAGUGCCUGUAAAUAGAGGGAAAGAGGGACUGACCCACAGAAGGCCACGGGGUGGGGGACGGGGCUGUUAAAGCCACAGACACCUGGGCCUUCCCUGCCUCCCAGGCCUUCAGGACCCGUGGACCACACCGUCCAACAGACACCAGCACGGCUUCCCUCUUCCUCCAGGUGGGCUGCGGACCCACCAGGCUCCUUCCUGUGACGUGGAUUUGGAGAAGGGUCCCACCACGGCAAACCUUUUCUGGAACAACCCAGUGGGAAUGGCCGGCCGCUCCUUGGGCUGGAAGGAUCAGGUGUCCCCAAACUGGCUUAGGUCAGCCGUGCUGUGGAGUAAGGGGGUACCCUGGGGAGGGGAAGCCCAGGGGCCUCGAGCAGGUGACCCUUCCUGCUCCUGGGAUCCAAGCAACGUUACUCUCCUCCUCAAACAGUCGACCACGUGGAGAAAUGAUCCUUGGCCACAAACUGGAAGUUAGUUGGCUCCAUUUCAUUAGAGGAUCUUAUUAUGUCAGCG
rnacentral:lncRNA from 1 species